rnacentral:rRNA from 1 species
ACGAACGCUGGCGGCGUGCCUAAUACAUGCAAGUCGAGCGCGGGAAGCGGACUCGUCACCCUUCGGGGUGUCUAGUCCGUGGAACGAGCGGCGGAUGGGUGAGUAUCACGUGGGCAACCUGCCUGUAAGAUUGGGAUAACUCGCGGAAACGUGAGCUAAUACCGAAUGAAGUCUUUCACCGCCUGGUGAAAGGAUGAAAGAUGGCUUUUAGCUAUCACUUACAGAUGGGCCCGCGGCGCAUUAGCUAGUUGGUGGGGUAAAGGCCUACCAAGGCGACGAUGCGUAGCCGACCUGAGAGGGUGAUCGGCCACACUGGGACUGAGACACGGCCCAGACUCCUACGGGAGGCAGCAGUAGGGAAUCUUCCGCAAUGGACGAAAGUCUGACGGAGCAACGCCGCGUGAAGUGAUGAAGGUCUUCGGAUCGUAAAACUCUGUUGUCAGGGAAGAACAAGUUGUGUUCUAACAGGACAUGACCUUGACGGUACCUGACCAGAAAGCCCCGGCUAACUACGUGCCAGCCGCCGC